CAGCCGCCACGGUAAUACGUAGGUGGCAAGCGUUAUCCGGAAUGAUUGGGCGUAAAGCGUCUGUAGGUGGCUUUUCAAGUCCGCCGUCAAAUCCCAGGGCUCAACCCUGGACAGGCGGUGGAAACUACCAAGCUGGAGUACGGUAGGGGCAGAGGGAAUUCCGCGUGUAGCAGUGAAAUGCGUAGAUAUGCGGAGGAACACCGAUGGCGAAGGCAAUCCCCUGGGCCUGCACUGACGCUCAUGCACGAAAGCGUGGGGAGCAAACAGGAUUAGAUACCCCCGUAGUCCCUGUCUCUUAUAC
rnacentral:rRNA from 1 species